AAAAUCUUAGUAGUAUCAUAUUUCACAAGAAAAAUGAGUUCCAAAGUGCUUCUUCUUCUCGGCCUUGUCUUAGCUGUGUCUCUUCUGAUCUCUUCAGAAGUAGCUUCAGCCAGAGACCUUGCCGCUGUUGAUCCAUCCGAGGAAACUGAUGGGCGCAGCGGAUACAAUCUGGGCGGACAUGGAGGUGGCCAUGGAGGGGGCCACGGUGGUGGCCACAGAGGCGGCCAUUGAGGAGGCCACGGAGGCGGCCAUGGAGACAAAGCGGAGGAAACUGAUGGGCGCGGCGGACAUGGAGGCAGCAGCGGAAGCGGACACAGCAGUGGCGGCCAUGGAGGAGGCCACGGAGGUCACGGUGGCGGCCACGGAGGAGGCAAGGGUGGGAAUUACUGAAAACGCAGAACUAAGCAGUUGCUAGUGUGUAUGUGACAUGCCAUAAUUAA